rnacentral:rRNA from 1 species
ACUCAAAUGAAUUGACGGGGACCCGCACAAGCAGUGGAGUAUGUGGUUUAAUUCGAAGCAACGCGAAGAACCUUACCAGGGCUUGACAUCUACCGAAUGCUAAGAGAUUAGCAGUGCCUUCGGGAGCGGUAAGACAGGUGGUGCAUGGUUGUCGUCAGCUCGUGUCGUGAGAUGUUGGGUUAAGUCCCGCAACGAGCGCAACCCUUAUUGUUAGUUGCCAUCAUUCAGUUGGGCACUCUAAUGAGACUGCCGGUGACAAAUCGGAGGAAGGUGGGGACGACGUCAAAUCAUCAUGCCCCUUAUGUCCUGGGCUACACACGUACUACAAUGGCCGUCAACAACGGGAAGCGAAGCCGCGAGGCGGAGCAAAUCCCCAAAAACGGUCUCAGUUCGGAUCGCAGGCUGCAACCCGCCUGCGUGAAGUUGGAAUUGCUAGUAAUCGCGAAUCAGCAUGUCGCGGUGAAUACGUUCCCGGGUCUUGUACACACCGCCCGU